rnacentral:rRNA from 1 species
CCUACGGGUGGCAGCAGUGGGGAAUAUUGCGCGAUGGGCGAAAGCCUGACGCAGCGACGCCGCGUGAGGGAUGAAGGUCUUCGGAUCGUAAACCUCUGUCAGCAGGGAAGAACGGUCACUGUGCUAAUCAGCAGUGAAUUGACGGUAACUGCAAAGGAAGCACCGGCUAACUCCGUGCCAGCAGCCGCGGUAAUACGGAGGGUGCGAGCGUUAAUCGGAAUUACUGGGCGUGAAGCGCUCGUAGGCGGUAUGUCAAGUCACGGGUGAAAUGCCCGGGCUCAACGUGGGAACUGCCGUGGAAACUGGCAAACUUGAGUGUGUGAGAGGAUAGUGGAAUUCAAGGUGUAGGAGUGAAAUCCGUAGAUAUCUGGAGGAACAUCAGUGGCGAAGGCGACUAUCUGGCACAUAACUGACGCUGAGGAGCGAAAGCGUGGGUAGCAAACAGGAUUAGAUACCCCAGUAGUC